AGAGUUUGAUCAUGGCUCAGGAUGAACGCUAGCGGCAGGCUUAAUACAUGCAAGUCGAGGGGCAGCGGGGGUAGCAAUACCUGCCGGCGACCGGCAAACGGGUGCGGAACACGUACACAACUUUCCUUUAAGUGGGGGAUAGCCCAGAGAAAUUUGGAUUAAUACCCCGUAACAUUAUGAGACGGCAUCGUUUUAUAAUUAAAGCUCCGGCGCUUAAAGAUGGGUGUGCGGCUGAUUAGGUAGUUGGCGGGGUAACGGCCCACCAAGCCUUCGAUCAGUAACUGGUGUGAGAGCACGACCAGUCACACGGGCACUGAGACACGGGCCCGACUCCUACGGGAGGCAGCAGUAAGGAAUAUUGGUCAAUGGACGCAAGUCUGAACCAGCCAUGCCGCGUGAAGGAUGAAGGUCCUCUGGAUUGUAAACUUCUUUUAUUUGGGAAGAAAUCCAUUUUUUCUAAAGUGGUUGACGGUACCAGAUGAAUAAGCACCGGCUAACUCCGUGCCAGCAGCCGCGGUAAUACGGAGGGUGCAAGCGUUAUCCGGAUUCACUGGGUUUAAAGGGUGCGUAGGUGGGCAGGUAAGUCAGUGGUGAAAUCUCCGGGCUUAACCCGGAAACUGCCAUUGAUACUAUCUGUCUUGAAUACCGUGGAGGUGAGCGGAAUAUGUCAUGUAGCGGUGAAAUGCUUAGAUAUGACAUAGAACACCAAUUGCGAAGGCAGCUCACUACGCGAAUAUUGACACUGAGGCACGAAAGCGUGGGGAUCAAACAGGAUUAGAUACCCCCGUAGUCC
rnacentral:rRNA from 1 species